rnacentral:rRNA from 1 species
AACCAACAGGGAUUGCCCUAGUAACGGCGAGUGAAGCGGCAACAGCUCAAAUUUGAAAUCUGGCGCAAGCCCGAGUUGUAAUUUGUAGAGGAUGCUUCUGGGUAGCGACCGGUCUAAGUUCCUUGGAACAGGACGUCAUAGAGGGUGAGAAUCCCGUAUGUGACCGGCCCGCACCCUUUACGUAGCUCCUUCGACGAGUCGAGUUGUUUGGGAAUGCAGCUCUAAAUGGGAGGUAAAUUUCUUCUAAAGCUAAAUACCGGCCAGAGACCGAUAGCGCACAAGUAGAGUGAUCGAAAGAUGAAAAGUACUUUGGAAAGAGAGUUAAAAAGCACGUGAAAUUGUUGAAAGGGAAGCGCCUGCAAUCAGACUUCGCGGCAGUGUUCCGCCGGCCUUCUGGCCGGUUCAUUCUCUGUCGCGAGGCCAUCAUCGUCUCGGCCCGCUGGAUAAGACCUUGGGAAUGUAGCUCACCUUCGGGGGAGUGUUAUAGCUCAUGGUGAUGCAGCGAGGCUGGGGCGAGGUCCGCGCUUCGGCAAGGAUGAUGGCGUAAUGGUUGUCGGCGGCCCGUCUUGAAACACGGACCAAGGAGUCUAACAUCUAUGCGAGUGUUCGGGUGUCAAACCCCUACGCGUAAUGAAAGUGAACGGAGGUGGGAACCGCAAGGUGCACCAUCGACCGAUCCUGAUGUCCUCGGAUGGAUUUGAGUAAGAGCAUAGCUGUUGGGACCCGAAAGAUGGUGAACUAUGCCUGAAUAGGGUGAAGCCAGAGGAAACUCUGGUGGAGGCUCGCAGCGGUUCUGACGUGCAAAUCGAUCGUCAAAUUUGGGUAUAGGGGCGAAAGACUAAUCGAACCAUC